CAAACUUACACAGCACCAGCCAGGGUGAAGGGAUUGCUCACGCAGAUUCUGUUUCCUCAGGGCCUGAUGGAUCAACAGGAAGCUUUUGUACGGUUCAACUCUAGAGGAUAGCACUGGUCUGUUGCAAGGUUUGUCUUUGAUUCUUUGUUAAUCCCCUGAGAUUGUCAAAGGGUUAAUCUAAAAAAUGCGCAUUUAAGGCCUUCUUCUUUUCCUCAGUAGUAUUAAUUUUGAUAUUUUUAAAGUUAUGCCAUUAUAUAUGGAGGCAUAAAUUAUAAUGAAAUUAUACAAUUCAAAUGUGCUAUUUAAUGAAUUUUAACAAUUAUGGACACAUUUAUAAACAUACCUAAAAUGAAGUGUAGGACAUUUCUAUCAUUUUAUUUUUUUUUCUUGUGCCCCCUUUCUGUCUUCCCACCAGAGAUGAGCACUUGCUAGUUUCUGUCAAUGCAGAGCAGUCAUAUUCUCAAACCUUUUCUGUCAAGGACCAGCUGGUGAAUAUCUUAGGCUUCUGUUGGCUACCUAUUUCUAUUUCACACACUUUUUGUUCUUUACAUGAUUUUUUUUUUGGUACCAGGGAUUGAAACCAGGAGUGCUUAACCACUGAGUCACAUCCCUUGCCCCUUUUCUCAUUUUAUUAGUGACAGAGUAUCACUGAAUUGCUUAGGGCCUCAUUAAGUUGUUGAGGCUGGGUUUGAAAUCACAAUCCUCCUGCCUCAGCCUCCCAAGCCACUGGGAUCUUUACAUGCUUUAUAACAAUGCUUUUUAAAUAGGCUCAAUUCAGUGGCUAUGCAAAUACACAAUAAGGGAGCAGAGUUGAUAUGGCCUUCUGUUGUAGUUUGUUGAGUCCUGUCAUGCACAAGUUCUGGCUGUCUUUAAAAACCAGGCAAAUGGGAUGAUAUUUCUGGAUAUUUAGCUUGAUAUGUUGUCUUCUUUUGUUUAUCUACAUUGUUCCACACAUUAAGACUUUAUUUCUUUUUAUUUCUGAGUAGUGUAUUAUUAAUUAAUGUUGUUGUUAUUAUUAUUUUUGUACUGGGGGUUGAACCCCAGGACAUUGUGCAUGCUCGGCAAUGCUAUACCCCUGAGCUAUAUCCCCAGCCCCUGCCAUUAAAUUUUCAUUGACAAAUUUUUAGCCCUUUGAUAAAUAUUUGAGUUGUUCCAUUUGGAACUAUCUGUGGAAUUGCUAGGUUAUGAUGGUAGGUUGCGUAUAAACUGUGAAACUCUGAUGUUCAAUUGUCCAAAAUGAUUGUAUCACUUUCCACUCCACUGACAAUGCUCCCCACCCCUUUUCUUGUCAAGGACCACAGGUGAAAUACACAUGGCAUUUCCAAAUCUGGAACCCUAUUAUUAAUUGACUGGUUAUUUGGCCAAAAUACUAGCUGGCUCUCAAAUAGAACACUUAAGUAGCAACCGAAAAUUCUGGAAGCAUCAUCAGGAUGCUUUACUCUAACAAAUGCUCAUUAUAUGAUCAGUACAACCUAGAUUUCUUUUAGUGACACAGAUGAAUACUAAUUUAGACAAAACCUGCCUGUGGUGCCCCUGGGCAACAGAGCUCCUUGCUAGGUAUGUAUAGGAUUAAGCUGUACCUGAAACUGUCACUGAGGAACUGUACAAGGGGCAGAAUUAGGGAGGGAAGGAGGGAACUAUCUCAUGUGAACUCUUUUCAGAACCAGCAUGAAUCAUGUGUGGCAGAUUGUGCUUUUGGAGAAAUAUUCAAUUGAAGUACUGAUCUAAUAUCCAGGAAAGAAUUAAUCACUGACUCCAUACCUCAGUUCUGUUUGCUUCACAUCUCGCAUCAAUCACAUGGUCCCCAAAAAACUUCCAAAAAUGUGCUUAUACUUUGUUUGUGAUCAUAUCCCUUACAGUGCUACUACAUUUCCCAUUAUAAGAAUAGUGGUCAAAAUGUCUCAGAACUUGCUACUUAAAAUAUGGUACAUGAAUCAUCAACACUUUUUGUUUUCAUUGUUGAGUCCUACCCCAGACCAACAGACCCAGAUUCUCUAAAAAUAAAGACUUCAAUAUGAUUCAUAUAUGUAUUGAUGUUUAAUUAGCACCUUUAUAAAAUAUUCACAAAUGUAUACAAUGAUCUCCAUAUUCCAAAAGUUCAAACAUACCAGGGCUUUAAUUGUGCUUGGUGCAGACUUGGAGUGUUCUGUGUGCAUGGGGUACAGAGUGGAGCCUGCUUUCAUCAAACUUCUCUAUCCUUCCAUUUAAUUAAAUGUACCCUGAAAUCUCACAAGUAAGGCAGAUUUGUGUCAGUUUGAAUCUGUAAUAGGUUCAAAGAUUGCUGGAAAUGACUUCUUAGUUAUACGUAAUUUUUUUCAAUUAAGUUUAUUCUAGAAUAAAAGAAAAUGUAUGCCCAGGAAGAUGAUGCAAAUAAAUAAGUAAACCUAGAGUUCCAUGCUCCCUCAACUUCUCAAGUGCAUGAUAUAAUCUACUUGCCUUGAGGAACCCUAGAGAAAAGGGGUUAAGUGUGUUUCAUUGUCUUUAUUCUGUUAUGAGAAAAAAGGUAGCCUCCAGUAAAAUCUCAAAAGAUGAAGAACAGAUGCCAAUUCAAUUGCAUCUUUUUACUUAUUAUCUGGUAAAUAAACGACUAUCAUUUUCUUGGCUAAUAUUUAUUCCAUGUAUGUUUUCAGAAAAUAUAUUUCUUUCUUUCUCUGGGCUAUAAAUUUCUCUGUGCUCCUGAAAUUUUGGAGUAGCAACUAUUUAGGUUUGGAGGUUAUAAAAUUGUAUGGAUCUCAGUUGUCAUUUGCUGAUGGUAAGGUAUUUAGAAAAUCUCCUAUUAUGAAUUUCUCUAGUUUUUAAAUUGGGGAGAUAAUGCAUAACAAGAACAUUUUAUUUGAUAGCUAUGAGUAAUAUAUGUACAAAGAUUGGCAAAGCUCUAAUAUUGUGAAAAAGACAGCUUAUUUUAGUGAUAUGUCUAUUAUUAUACCCCCAAAACAAUCUUAUUUUUUCAUUUGAAACUGUCAUUGAGGUGGUGGCAUAGGGAUAACUUAUAGUCUUUUUAACUUAUUUCAUCUUUAUUUUCUCCUCUUGAGACACAAGAACAGUUUUUUCAUAAUUUACUCUGCAUUUUACAGGUCUCCUGGCAACUAGUCUGAUGGAAGAUGAAACUGUCUUCAGCACAACACACAGCCUAAUGGACUCAACUUCAGACACGAAGCAGUUGUCAUUCCCCAUAAUUUCUGUAAACUACUGGCAUCUAAGCUCAAAUACUUUUGUGCACAAACAGGAUGCUUCUCCUUGUUUGAAAAAUCACACUUGUACUCCCUCCAUAGAGGUCCAUCUCACAGUACAUGCAGUUGUACCAACCUGAAGUCCAUCAUUCCCAGGGCUCUUGAUAGUAGGUGGAUCCAUAAGCUUCCUGACAUGGACCAUUGAGGUCAAUUCUGGGCCAAGUGAUUCUAUGGCUUUUCAGCUGACAUUCUAUCUUAACUUUGUGUUAAUGUCAUUUACAAAUGAAAUUUUUAUCUUAAUUUCUGACUUUUUAAAAAAUAUUUUUUUCUAAAAAACUACUAGAUGCCAGUGAUCCUGAGCAUAUUUGAAUUCCAUUUUCUCUCUUUCUCAUCUCCCCCUAAAUUAAGGAAAUCAUUUAUCAGAAUAAAGAAUAACUAAAUGAAGUGUAGACUAUCCACUUUUCAGUAGUCUUUGUGCCACUCAAAAGUCUCAUCACUACUGCUCCCUUAUUCUUCCAUGAUAUGGGAAACUUGAGAAACGACAAAAGAAAAGAAAGAUAUGCUAGAAGACCAUUCAAAUAUUGAAGAAAGAUCCUGAAUUUAGAUAUAAGUAGGAAAAAGGAGUAAAGUGUUCCUCAGUUCAGUUACUCUGCUCUGUUGUGAAAAUAAGUAAGCUGUAAAAUUACAUAUUGGUUUCUAUGUGUGUGUGUG
rnacentral:lncRNA from 1 species